UACAGAGGGGGCGAGCGUUGUUCGGAAUUACUGGGCGUAAAGGGCGCGUAGGCGGCCUUCUAAGUCGGACGUGAAAUCCCUCGGCUCAACCGGGGAACUGCGUCCGAUACUGGAUGGCUUGAAUUCGGGAGAGGGAUGCGGAAUUCCAGGUGUAGCGGUGAAAUGCGUAGAUAUCUGGAGGAACACCGGUGGCGAAGGCGGCAUCCUGGACCGAGAUUGACGCUGAUGCGCGAAAGCGCGGGGAGCGAACGGG
rnacentral:rRNA from 1 species